rnacentral:rRNA from 1 species
UACGUAGGGUGCGAGCGUUAAUCGGAAUUACUGGGCGUAAAGCGUGCGCAGGCGGUUUUGUAAGUUUGUCGUGAAAUCCCCGGGCUCAACCUGGGAAUGGCGAUGAAGACUGCAAGGCUAGAAUCUGGCAGAGGGGGUAGAAUUCCACGUGUAGCAGUGAAAUGCGUAGAGAUGUGGAGGAACACCGAUGGCGAAGGCAGCCCCCUGGGUCAAGAUU